rnacentral:tRNA from 1 species
GCCUGGGUGGCUCACUGGUUGAGCAUCUGCCUUUGAUGCAGGUCAUGAUACUGGGGUCCUGGGAUCGAGUCCCAUAUCAGGCU